rnacentral:lncRNA from 1 species
GUGUAAAUGUGUUACUUGUUUGCUCAGCAAGUCGGACUAACCUUCCAAACUGUUAACCUGAAUAAUUCAGUCGUUAUAUUCCGCUUACUACAUUAAGUAGGUAAGAGAGAUCGAUUACGGGGAGGGACUGAAUUAUAAAUAAAGUAUCAUGCUACCCCACUUCCAUAAUGAGCAAGCGGUAACAUAUAUAUUUAGUUUUGAGUAACUGUUCAAUUUGGGUCUUCCUCGCGGUCUGCGUUUAAAAAAUUUGAAAAAAUUAGAGGCAAUGAUUUAAAUUUUAACAACUAAAGUUCCAAGUUACGGGUGUAAAUUGUAGGAUUGAUUGCUUUGAUUAUUGCAUGGUUGGUUAACGUCCAGUGGAAAAUAUUUCAUGCAUGUUCAGGACGAGAACAAGUUAACAAUAAAUACAAUACAUGUAGGUAGGUUUGCAAUAGAGGCAGGGCAUCCGCGAUGAUGGUCGGGAAAAUUUUAACUGACGCUAUACACAUUAUUUAUGUAUGUGCCUGUCCCAAGUCAGGAUCCUGUAAUUCAGUGGUUGUCGUUUGUUUAUGUGUUACAUAUUUGUUUUUCGUCCUUUUUUUUAAUAAGGCCGUUAGUUUUCUCGUUUGAAUUGUUUUACAUUGUCUUAUCGGGUCCUUUUAUAGCUGACUAUGCGGUAUGGGCUUUGCUCAUUGUUGAAGGCCGUACGGUGACCUAUAAUUGUUAAUGUCUGUGUCAUUUUGGUCUCUUGUGGACAGUUGUCUCAUUGGCAAUCAUCCC